UACGAAGGGGGCUAGCGUUGUUCGGAUUUACUGGGCGUAAAGCGCACGUAGGCGGAUCGUUAAGUGAGGGGUGAAAUCCCAGGGCUCAACCCUGGAACUGCCUUUCAUACUGGCGAUCUCGAGUCCGGAAGAGGUGAGUGGAACUCCUAGUGUAGAGGUGGAAUUCGUAGAUAUUAGGAAGAACACCGGUGGCGAAGGCGGCGCUCUGGACCGAGACUGACGCUGAGGCGCGAAAGCGUGGGGAGCAAACAGG
rnacentral:rRNA from 1 species